CUAGCAACGCUCCUUAACGACCGGAUAGCAUGAAGUAUACAAUUUACUCUGAAGAACCAGUAGAAGAAUAAUGUAGUAAUUCCUUCUGUCCUUAUAGCUCUCGAUCACCCUAGGAUAUGGUUCAACUGUCAAAUCCUAAUAGGCGAUCAACUAUGUGUUCACGUCAAAUAUAAUCGACCAUUGAAUGACCUAAGAAACUC
rnacentral:lncRNA from 1 species